GGCUCACGGUGCUUAAGCUGAGAAACAGUGUUAUCACCUGCUGUUGUCUCUGAAGAUAUCAGUAAAGAAAGGCACCCAGCAGGAGGGCAAUGGCCCAGGCUCAACACCCACCACCCAGCUACUUCCAAGGAAAUGUGCAAGGAGUGAGCACAUCUUUUGUUAAGGAGAGAACAGGAAGGUCCUUCCAUUUCACUGCUCUCCAUUAGGAUCUUUGUCUCUACAGAAUAAUGGAUUACAGCUCUUCUGAGAAAACACGAUAUUACCUCAGCCUAGAGGAGCACCGGGAACAACGCAUCGAGCCAGUGGUGCUGCAAUCCAGAUCACCCGCCCAUAGACAGCACCAUUUCUCUGGAAAAUGGCACCACCAGUAGCUCUACUCCUUCCCCGAUUCAGUAUUCUGGUGCUUUUUGUGUGCUUUAAUAAAGAAGAAAUGAAACCCCAAACUGCGUCUCAAGUACAGAAGGUUCACCUGCUCUGGCUGCUGAGAGAUGUUUAUUGACAACACCUUCUGGGCUGUCCAGGCAGAAGAUUCAAGGAGAAAGCACCUCAGGAUCCAGAUCAACUACCGAAAAUCAAAUUGUGGCCCAAUUAUCAUCAAAAAAAUUGGGUGAGGUCAACAGCCCCACCCGAAGGGUAUUUUUCCUUGUUGCAGCAGUUCAGGACAUAAUUUGCUGCCUACCAUAACCAUAAUGUUUUUUAAAUUGAGUUCCUUCUGAAUGUAAUUUACUGCUAUGGUUUACUGAGCUUAUUUUAAC
rnacentral:lncRNA from 1 species